rnacentral:rRNA from 1 species
UACGGAGGGUGCAAGCGUUAUCCGGAUUUACUGGGUUUAAAGGGUGCGUAGGCGGGCUUUAAAGUCUGAGGUGAAAGAUUCAAGCUUAACUUGAAAAUGUCCUUGGAUACUUAAGGUCUUGAAUAUCGAGAAGGUGAGCGGAAUAUGACAAGUAGCGGUGAAAUGCUUAGAUAUGUCAUAGAACACCGAUUGCGAAGGCAGCUCACUGUACGAUUAUUGACGCUGAGUCACGAAAGCGUGGGUAGCGAACAGG